rnacentral:rRNA from 1 species
AGUGAACGCUGGCGGUAGGCCUAACACAUGCAAGUCGAACGGCAGCACAGUAAGAGCUUGCUCUUACGGGUGGCGAGUGGCGGACGGGUGAGGAAUACAUCGGAAUCUACUUUUUCGUGGGGGAUAACGUAGGGAAACUUACGCUAAUACCGCAUACGACCUACGGGUGAAAGCAGGGGAUCUUCGGACCUUGCGCGAUUGAAUGAGCCGAUGUCGGAUUAGCUAGUUGGCGGGGUAAAGGCCCACCAAGGCGACGAUCCGUAGCUGGUCUGAGAGGAUGGUCAGCCACACUGGAACGUAGACACGGACCAGACUCCUACGGGAGGCAGCAGUGGGGAAUAUUGGACAAUGGGCGCAAGCCUGAUCCAGCCAUACCGCGUGGGUGAAGAAGGCCUUCGGGUUGUGAAGCCCUUUUGUUGGGAAAGAAAAGCAGCAGGUUAAUACCCCGCUGUUCUGACGGUACCCAAAGAAUAAGCACCGGCUAACUUCGUG